UCACUAGGCUUUUAGGUUAGUUUUGCAUUUGAUUCAAGAUUGGGUAUAAGUUUGAGGUUAAAAUCAAGUUGUGGGUUAGUUUUGGCAAAAACUCCUAAAAAUAAACACAUCUGUUCUAUUUAAUAAUAUACAUAUAUAUUUUUAAACUUAAGGUACCUAAAAUCCGAAAGGAUAAACUCGAUAGAGUAAUUUAUAAAUUGGGAACCGCCCGAAUUAUACCCCAUGAAUUUUGAAACCUAAAAAAUACAAGUUUUGGGUUUAAAAAUUUAAGUGGAUUACCCAAUGAAUUUUGGGUAAUUGCAGUGUAUAGCCAUGAAAAGAAAGAUAAUUGCAGUGAACAAAGAAGCAGCGCGUAAUCAUUGUAAUUGCAGUGUAUACCCCCUACCUCUAUCUCUGCACCUAUUUAUGACAAUGAGAUAUGCUGCACCUAUAACUAAGAGAAUCUGUAAUAAUGACACUAAAGAGAGAUUCUUUACGCCACCUAAAAACAUGGCCGCAAAAGGUUUUCCUUGACCAUUAUUUCCCAAAAAGUUCAACUCCUAUCUAUAUCCCUCUCUCUGAAUCUGACAUUAUUUAAAGAUGCUUCCAUGAAAUUUUUUUCUGAUCAUUGAGUCUUGUGCUCCAUUCUUAGUGGCUUUCUCAAGUUUUAUCUGUUUUUUGCUCACUGUAAAGAAUUACCAAAGAAUAUGUCUCUGUUUUGAUUAGAUUCACUUCUUUUGUUUAGGAUUUUAGAAACCAUUAUGGGUUUUUGCUUUCUACAACAAUUCAUUAUAUAAAGUCUUUGCCUUUUCAAGUUAGAUCUUGUUCUAAAUCACGGGUCAGUUGAGACUGUUCACAUUUCUCUCCAUCCUCAAGUUUGGUUUUACAUUUCAAAGUUUGGAUUUUUUUCCUUCUUAAAGCUUCUUUUAUUUCUUUUAUGCAGAAACAAAUGCAUGGUUUAUGUCUCAUUUGGAGAAUGACGCAUACCCAAGAAUCUCAUCAACUUUACUCUAUUAGGACAUUCUUUGGAAGUUAUGUUGCUGCUAAGUUUGGUUUUACAUUUCAAAGUUGGUACCUGUCACAAAAGAGUCAAUUCUUGUGAACUAGCUUGUUUAACAUCAUUGCGUAACUGCUUUCAUUGAACAUAGCACACUAUGAAUUAGAGAAUUUCAUGUUCAAGACUUUACAUUCCUUUGAAACAGAAACUGUUUUGUCUGAAAGUUCAAGAAUGCUACGAGGUUGUUAAUUACUGAUUAUGAUGGGAACGGCAACACAAAGAAGCUUGGAAACAUACUGACGAUUUUGGAUCCAGAAGACUCAAUCGUGGUCACAAAGUCAUUUUGCAACUUGCUUAGCUUGGCUAAUCUAUUAACUAGGAAAUUUUAUCCGGAUAACUAGCCAGUUAUAUCCAGAUUGACGAUGUGAUAUCCCAUUAAUAUUCACAAGUAUAUAUUACUUCAUCUUUUAUAUUUAUUUAACUUGAACCUAUAAUGGAUUAUCCGGUA